rnacentral:rRNA from 1 species
AUACGAAGGGUGCAAGCGUUAAUCGGAAUUACUGGGCGUAAAGCGCGCGUAGGCGGUUGGAUAAGUCGGAUGUGAAAGCCCCGGGCUCAACCUGGGAACUGCAUUCGAAACUGUCCGGCUAGAGUAUGGUAGAGGGAAGCGGAAUUCCACAUGUAGCGGUGAAAUGCGUAGAUAUGUGGAGGAACACCAGUGGCGAAGGCGGCUUCCUGGCCCAAUACUGACGCUGAGGCGCGAAAGCGUGGGGAGCGAACAGGAUUAGAAACCCUAGUAGUCC